rnacentral:rRNA from 1 species
UACAGAGGUCUCAAGCGUUGUUCGGAUUUAUUGGGCGUAAAGGGUGCGUAGGCGGCGCGGUAAGUCGGGUGUGAAAACUCGGGGCUUAACUCCGGGCCUGCAGUGGGUACGGGCAGGCUGGAGUGUGGUAGGGGAGAUCGGAAUUCCUGGUGUAGCGGUGAAAUGCGCAGAUAUCAGGAGGAACACCGGCGGCGAAGGCGGAUCUCUGGGCCGGUAUUGACGCUGAGGCGCGAAAGCCAGGGGAGCAAACGGG